GAAACAUUAAAUGGAAACAUGCCGAGAUCACGAAGCCAGACUUCAGUGUAUUUGGAAGUCUAAAUGAAACACUGAAACCCCAGAGAGGUGAAGAGACUCUGCAAAUCGCAUUGGGAAUUCCUUUUCAAUUGAUCCUACUCAGAGAUUGAGAGUUCUUCGGGGAUAAAAACUAUGAUUUGUUCACGUGUAUAUCCGUAUGGUGUCUUGCUUACAGUACGCUAUUUUAUUUUGAAAGCUAACCCCUGAGGUGAUGGGAU